rnacentral:hammerhead_ribozyme from 1 species
AUCCAGCUGACGAGUCCCAAAUAGGACGAAACACGCGUCCUUGAU